AUUGAACGCUGGCGGCAGGCUUAACACAUGCAAGUCGAGCGAGCAGCGGACGGGUGAGUAAUGUGUGGGAAACUGCCUUAUGGAGGGGUAUAACUACUAGAAACGGUAGCUAAUACCACAUACCAUCAGAUGUGCCCAUAUGGGAUUAGCUUGUAGGUGGGGUAAUGGCUCCCCUAGGCGACGAUCCCUAUCUGGUCCGAGAGGAUGACCAGCCACACUGGAACUGAGACACGGUCCAGACUCCUACGGGAGGCAGCAGUGGGGAAUAUUGCACAAUGGGCGCAAGCCUGAUGCAGCCAUGCCGCGUGUGUGAAGAAGGCCUUCGGGUUGUAAAGCACUUUCAGUGAGGAGGCGUUACUCGCAGAAGAAGCACCGGCUAACUCCGUGCCAGCAGCCGCGGUAAUAC
rnacentral:rRNA from 1 species